ensembl:lncRNA TP73-AS2 TP73 antisense RNA 2
CCUGGGACAGCCUUGGGGGCUGGAAUUGGCAGCAGCUGGAGGUGGCCGGAGACAGCGGAGGGAGGGGAGUAAGCUGUGGACAUGGUGGGGUGGUCCCUCUUCAGCUUUUAAGGGCCCAAGAGUGAGUUCCUCUGGCUGCUCCAGAAAGUGAAGAGAGAAGAGCCAACCCCGGCUCGGGCCACGAGCCCCGAGGCGCUGACCACAGCCAGAGCAGGCCUGCUGGAAGCUCCGUCCCUGCUGCAGAUCCCUGCGCCACAUGAUAUCAGCAAUUGCUGCAAUUUCGCCCUAAGUACUCUUGUUUCCCCUAAUAAUCCACGUUUCAUCUCCACAAUAAACAUUGUUAGAACUCUU